CGUGACAUCCUGCUUCAGAGCAUGUUCAUGCUGCGGUCUCGUGCGAGCUCAGAGAAGGAAAACUAUUGAAAUGAGUGGUGAUUUACCGGAGCAGCGCGAGAGUCAAAGUGGUUGUGCCGACCUGGUGGGGUGAAACUUUGUAAAGCCCGUGCACAUAGUGAUUCAGCGGUCAGGUUUUUUGUUGGAUGACGUCGUUAGAAGAGGUUGCAUCCACGUUCCACCAUCCAUUGCAACGCUUCCUGUUGGAUUCGUGGGAGGCUUCCAGGGAUUGUUCCAGAUCCCAAGAUUUCAGGAUUCCCAGUGUGAGCUGGGUGGCGAGCCGCAUUGAACUACUGGUAUCGAAUUGGAGAAUCGUGACGGACUCCUGAUC